rnacentral:rRNA from 1 species
UACACUCCUACGGGAGGCAGCAGUGGGGAAUAUUGCCCAAUGGGCGCAAGCCUGAUGCAGCGACGCCGCGUGGGGGAUGAAGGCCUUCGGGUUGUAAACUCCUUUCGCUAGGGACGAAGCUUUUUUGUGACGGUACCUAGAUAAGAAGCACCGGCUAACUACGUGCCAGCAGCCGCGGUAAUACGUAGGGUGCGAGCGUUGUCCGGAAUUACUGGGCGUAAAGGGCUCGUAGGUGGUUUGUCGCGUCGUCUGUGAAAUUCUGGGGCUUAACUCCGGGCGUGCAGGCGAUACGGGCAUAACUUGAGUGCUGUAGGGGUAACUGGAAUUCCUGGUGUAGCGGUGAAAUGCGCAGAUAUCAGGAGGAACACCGAUGGCGAAGGCAGGUUACUGGGCAGUUACUGACGCUGAGGAGCGAAAGCAUGGGUAGCGAACAGGAUUAGAUACCCCUGUAGUCCCA